UACGUAGGGUGCAAGCGUUAAUCGGAAUUACUGGGCGUAAAGCGUGCGCAGGCGGUUAUGGAAGACAGAUGUGAAAUGCCCGGGCUUAACCUGGGAACUGCAUUUGUGACUGCAUGGCUAGAGUUUGGCAGAGGGGGGUAGAAUUCCACGUGUAGCAGUGAAAUGCGUAGAUAUGUGGAGGAACACCGAUGGCGAAGGCAGCCCCCUGGGUCAAGACUGACGCUCAUGCACGAAAGCGUGGGGAGCAAACAGG
rnacentral:rRNA from 1 species